rnacentral:piRNA from 1 species
UNUUUGCCUCUCACGGCUAUGACCUCAGU